ACAGAGGGGGCAAGCGUUGUUCGGAAUUACUGGGCGUAAAGGGCGCGUAGGCGGCCUGUUAAGUCGAACGUGAAAUCCCCGGGCUCAACCCGGGAACUGCGUCCGAUACUGGCAGGCUUGAAUCCGGGAGAGGGAUGCGGAAUUCCAGGUGUAGCGGUGGAAUGCGUAGAGAUCGGGAAGAACAUUGGUGGCGAAGGCGGUCUGCUGGGCCGUUGCUGACGCUGAGGCGCGACAGCGUGGGGAGCAAACAGGA
rnacentral:rRNA from 1 species